AACAGAGAGAAGCAAUACCGCGAGGUGGAGCAAAACUUCAAAAAUGGUCUCAGUUCGGACUGUAGGCUGCAACUCGCCUACACGAAGUUGGAAUUGCUAGUAAUCGUGGAUCAGCAUGCCACGGUGAAUACGUUCCCGGGUCUUGUACACACCGCCCGUCACACCAUGGGAGCUGGUAACACCCGAAGUCAGUAGUCUAACCGUCAAGGAGGACGCUGCCGAAGGUGGGAUUAGCGACUGGGGUGAAGUCGUAACAAGGUAAC
rnacentral:rRNA from 1 species